rnacentral:lncRNA from 1 species
ACCUGACUGCACUGGAAUCCUUCCCCUAGUCCAGGCAUAUUGUUCAGACCAGGCUGUAGGCAGCACAUGAUGGAUGGAUGGGCUGAGACAGCGAGAUCGCAUAAGCUGCAUUCCCCUGGGAAACCAGACUGAAAACACAUAAGCAGAGGGGCAGUCUGACAACAAGGCAUCUGACAUGGAAGUGUGGAUGAAGCAAAGGUGUGUCACUGAAUUCCUCCAUGUGGAAAAGAUGGCACCCACUGACAUUCACUGAAGCUUGAUGUAUGUUUAUGGAGACCAAACGGUGGGUGUGAGCACAGUGAGGUGGUGGGUGGUGCAUUUCAGCAGUGGGAACAGCAACAGUGGGUCACCUCUGCUGGUGCAGAUUUUGAGGAGUGCGGCAUACAGGCUCUUGUUCAUUGCUGGUGAAUGCAUAGCUGAUGGUGGUGACUGUGUUGAAAAACAGUGGUUUUAGCUGAGAAUUUGCCCUAUCAAAUAGUGUUGUUGUCCUCUUUGCUAUAAGUUCCCAUUAAAAUAAAUAGGAGGCAUUACUUUCAGAGUGGCCUACAUACAGAAAAACCAACUCUCAAGUUUCCUACAUAUUAUGAAAUUGCAUAAAGAACUAUGUGGAACUAAUUUAAUAUGUGCAUUUUAUAUUCACUUCC